rnacentral:rRNA from 1 species
CCUACGGGUGGCUGCAGUGGGGAAUAUUGCACAAUGGGGGAAACCCUGAUGCAGCGACGCCGCGUGAGUGAAGAAGUAAUUCGUUAUGUAAAGCUCUAUCAGCAGGGAAGAAAAUGACGGUACCUGAGUAAGAAGCCCCGGCUAACUACGUGCCAGCAGCCGCGGUAAUACGUAGGGGGCAAGCGUUAUCCGGAUUUACUGGGUGUAAAGGGAGCGUAGACGGGAAAGCAAGUUGAAUGUUUAAGGUACGGGCUCAACCUGUACAAGCGUUCAAAACUGUUUUUCUUGAGUGGAGUAGAGGUAAGCGGAAUUCCUAGUGUAGCGGUGAAAUGCGUAAAUAUUAGGAGGAACACCAGUGGCGAAGGCGGCUUACUGGACUUUAACUGACGCUGAGGCUUGAAAGCGUGGGUAGCAAACAGGAUUAGAUACCCGGGUAGUC